GGUUAAUUAAAAGGUGUUAGGUUAAAGGAAAGGUGUUCACAAUGCAUGAAGAGAUAUUUUACUGUUAUUUUCAGGUAUUUUCAGCCUGUGGUGAAUUUGGAAAGGACUGGUCAGUGGGUGAUGCACACACCAAGUGUGCCUGGGUGUUUUAAAAACUGUUGCAUGUCACUGUUUUGCUUUGUUUUGUCUGGCUAUUCUUUCUUCAGAAAUGCGUAUGCAGAAGUAUACGUAAAGUGGCGUUUUAAAUGCUUAUGAACAUGGCUUGCUUUCUUGCUCAUUAGUCUCCCUCCACUUCCUACCUCACUUCCAUUGCAGUGGCCGUCACUCUCAGCUGUUGGAUUUGAGCUCCACAUGGGAUGUAAGCUCUUUUGCAGGAAAGCCUUUCAACCAGACUUAAGUUAGCAUGGAAGUCCAGUGCUCUCCUGGUUUUGCUUCUCCCUUCUGGACUCCCAAAACACAGCUCCUCUCCCCAGCAGAGGAGGUGUAUGGCUAAACCAGACAUGAAAGCAUAACCAUGUAUUACAAAGCACCAUCCUUCCUUCAGGGUGGCCCUGCUUUGCUGUGUAUUACCAAUGUAGAGAGCAUGUUUUUUAUCUUCAGGUCUCAAUGCCUAUUUGAGGUCACCUUAUUGUGAGAGUAAAAUGCUUCCAACAACCCUCUCAAAAGUGACAGGAGGUUUGGGAAGCUCUGGAAUGGAUGUUUUUGAGGUAAUUCUGCUCCCAUGUGGCCUCUAAAUAGGACACACAAGUCAGAGGAUAGGUAAAGGUUGUAUGUGUAAGUGUUGAUCUAGGGUAUAUUUUAGGAGCAAAAGGGUUUAACUUAUUUAAUUGGGAUCCUAAAUGAAGAUGAAAAAAGCAGUCGUAUCAGCAAGAGUGCUCUCUAAAAAGGAUCUCCCCAUUGGAGGGUGCAACGUUUGGUUUAUAAAGGUUGUUUGCCCAAAGGCCAGCUGGUAUCAGUUAACUAAGCGGUAUGUUUGCUCAAAAAGGAAAAGCAAUUAGAAGAGGCAAGAAUACAAAUUAAACUAAACAGUGCCAGAUCUGUCCUAAUGUGCCCUCAGAAAGCUAGUUUUUCCUCUGCAGUGAGUGGCCACAGCCGUGUGGCCUGAUCCAUACAAAAUCAAAACUGCUCAUGUUUGUUAGGUCAGCAUGACAAGUUUAUUUAUGACCUCUUCUGUUUCAUUUUCAGGUGCCUAGAGAAAUUGUUAAAACCAGUUUCCUUACUCAUUGUUUUCCAACUUGACCUCGGUACCUUGAAAGGAUGAACAGACAGCACGUGGAAGAGCUGAAGCAGUUGAAAGCUAAAUCUAUCUCCUUAUGCGUGUGCUGACAUGACCCAGUGGGGACUCGUACCAGUUCUCAGCUUUGCUCCAGUCUACCCUAAUUAAGACUGGAUCGAUUCAGUGUCUGGUUGGCUUUUCACAGGUAAUCUGAAAUGUUUCUGGAGACCCAUCAGAAUAAAUAAGCGUACUUCUUAAAAGUCUCCCAGUAUUUGCUUCCCCUUUAAUUACAGCUUACUUGAGCUUUCAGGAAGGAAAAUGAAAAACACAUCUGUUUGGCUGUCUUAUGGAUUUAAAAGUUGUUAAGGACAAUAUUUUUGUUAAUAUGGCACUACUGAUUUGGGGAAAAAAAAAUCCCAUUUUGAAAAACGUAGAUGGUUUUGUGUGUGGCCUGUCACCUUUCUGUCAGCACCUCUACAAAAGACCAGACUGUAUUUCAGGCCUUUCGAACAUGUCCUUAACAGUGCCUCUGGACAGGUUAUGUGAAAAUGUCUUGCUCAACAUGAUCUACUGUAUUUUUAAAGACAAGCAAUUAAAUUAACCUGCACAAAAAUACACGCUCAUAGAACAUACAUCUCUCUGGCAAAUCACUAUAAUAGCCUUUAUCAAUGAAGGAAUUUGAAGUGAAAGGCUAAAGAUAAAUAUGUAUUUCAUGAUUUCCCUUCUGUUGUACAGAGCAUGGCUCUGGGCAUUGGCAAUGCUGGCAGUUUGGCAGGAUUUAGGACAGAUUAGUGGUAGACCUGUUUACCUACAUCUAAAGAAAGACAUUAGGUUAUUCAAACAAAUCAAAGCCCCCAGGUGGGAAGAUGGAGAGGUAAAAUAAAGCCAGAGACGAUCAUGCAACAUAAACAUUCCUUAUGAGUUUCAAUAUUUUUGUAACAGAAAAGAGAAUAAGUGACUAACUUUUUGAUCCUUUGGGAGAGACUGAAGUGCAAGAACAGGAAUGGACAGCAGACUAAGGAAUGCACCACAGGUCCUAGGUCCUCACAGCUGCAGCCACAAAGCCUUUGGAAGGAGAAUGUGACCCCAGGCAUGGAAUCUUCACAACCAGGGAAACUAAAUUUUGAUAUUCGAAGAUUAAAGGCUCCUUCACAUUCAGAGACAGCAAUACUGGGCUUUCCUAAGCUGCAAUGAUGAACUUCUACUCAAAAUGUUCUUAGAAUACAUAAAACGCUAUUACAGGCAAUAACUUUGAUUAAAAGACAAACAAUUAUUGAUUAUUUACUAAGUAUUAAGUAUAUGCAAACAUCUAUAGGUUUCUGAGGCUCUUCUGAUUAGGUGGAUUCUAAAUUGCUUUAUGAAAUAGAUUUCCUACAGAUAAGUAAGCUGCAUUCAAUCUUGCACUACCCGGAAACCUUUCGUAUUAGUAGUUUCUUUUGCAAACAAGAGCCUGGAAUGGCAUUUAGUAUCUCAAGAAGUCCAGGAUUAUUUGUUAUUUGCUCUUACUCAGCUGUGCAGAAAUUAAAACACACUUUAUACAAAAAAAGAUCUCAUUUCAGGCAUCAAACAAAAACCAGAGGUAGGCGUUAGCUUCUGGAAGUGAAUGCGAUCUUUGAUACGACUAUGGCAGAAAAUAUAUAUAUUAACUGUAUAGUAAUUUCUCUUAUUGAGGUGGCAUCUUUUCCUUGAUUCCCUGGAGAUUUCUGCUCCACAAAUCGUCAGCUACUGAGCGGUACUGGAAUUAAUCUGAGUUUAUCAGCAUGUUAAAGAAACUUAUUUUAGGCAUCAGCACGUAUUUGAAUGCACGGUUAUUAAAGAAGUAGUGGCUGCAAUAGGGGUUGAAAUGAAGAAAAACAAAGAUUAAGUUAAAUCUCAGGACUAGGGUGUAACUGCUUGUAAAAUGAAUUGCUUUUCAUUGACUGGAGAAUUUAAGAUUAAUCUGGAACAAAGGUGUGCAAUGGGAGACAGUUCUUCAUCAAAAGAUUGUUUCAGACCACCUUGUGGGUUUUUGUCAUCUUUAUCUUUUAUGAUUUCUGUGUUUUACCUGUAGAAGAAAGCAGCAGAGACAGAUGAAGCUGAAGGCAGAAAGGUGAGCCAGAGGCUGCAAUGGGUUGUGUCAUGGGGAAGUUAGGUGAACCUAACUGGGAGGCAGGACAUCCAGAAGCUGAUAGCAAAGUGUUGCUUUAUGCAAUUUACAAUUUAUGUAUGGAGUUCACUGCUGGGUAAUUUCACUGGAAGAAAGAAGAAGCCGGAGUGAACUCAGGAGAGAAGUGGCCAGCCAGCUGAGUGAGGACUGCUGCUUCUCCUGGUGAAUGGGCAGGAAGGGAGGAAGGGAAAGAAGGAAGAAGUUAGCUAGAAGGGAACUUAUCUUAAAUCUUCUUUUUUAGCAUUUCAGAUUAAUUGUUUCAAGAAUCAGAAACUGGAUUCUGUACUCUAUGGAAAUUUCUGUGCUCCACAUUCCUGGAUAUUCAUUCAACUCUGACUGACUAAGAUUAAGGGAUAGCCUACAUUACAAAGACUUAAUCAGCCCACAGAUUGCCACAGCUCCUAGAAGAAGCACAGCCCUCUCGAAUAAAGGGUGCUUUCCGAAGGACUUUUUUUGCCUAUGUUGUGUGCAUCUAUGUGGGAUGAUGUGGUAGCAUAGCAAUCUUGCUGUUUGAUUCCUUCCUAACAAGUUGCUUCGUGAAGCCAUCAGAAUUUUGUAACUGGACUCGUCCUGAGAAAGAAUGUAAGUUAGUGUGACAGCAGUGACCCACGGCAUGCAGUACUUCAGAAAGGAUAGUUCUGCUAGUGCUCCAGGUCCAUCCAGAGCAGUGCCCGUGUAAUACGUGAACAACAUUUGGUUGUGCUCUUGUUUUGCAGAAGAUAACCAAAAACAGCUAAUAGAGUCAUCAGUAGUUCUUUCUAUCUAAAGAUAGUUAUUAUUUUACAGCUACAAGGAAAGAGAAAUCUGUGUCUUUGUUUUGGAAAUGCAAGUAGUAUUUCUAAAAUAUCAGCAAAGGCCAUGUUUUGUUUGAAAGCAAUUUUCCAAAGACAUUUUCCAGUUGCUAUUACCAAAUUCAGCACUUUGUGUGACUAAGAGGACAACAUCCCUGCAGCCAAGGCUUAUUUUUUGCAAAUAUCUGGAAUAUGGUUGAAUACAGGCUGGCAUCCUAUGUGACACUGAUAGCUUUGCAGGCCUGCUGGUUAUCUGACUGAAUAAGUUGGUGGCAGAGCUGAGCCAUCACAUAGGCUGCUUUCUCCAUUUUCUCCUGAGGAUGGAGAGAACAGCUGCAUAAAGAGCGAUUACAGCUGAGCACUUUCUCCUGUGCUGAUUUAGUCACCAUAGAGAAAGCUGAGUUGCUGGCGGUAUUAUUGAGGGUGAAAGGAAGACUCAAGUAAUAUUGCCUUGGUAGCUGCUUGAUUUAUACUACCUAAUUGGGAACACUGUGUAUUCAGUGGCUUCCUCAAUAAGCAGAAGAGCUAAUGAUUCAUUGUAUGAAAAAUGAAUAGAGGAAUGAAAGGUUUGUUAAGCAGUUACGGCUAAACGUAGCGUCAAGUUUUAUCUUCAGUAGUUACGGCGAUGGGGCUCCCAAGGUGGCUAGAAUUUGAAUAACAGUUAUUUUUUUCUGAAAUAUUUUGUCUAGCUUCUCUUUUCUUUUCUUCUUCUUUUCUUUUUUUCAGAAAAAAACUGAAAAUGAACAGGAAUCUCACUGUGAGACCCCUAACAAGGAUUCAACAAAUGUAGUCCUUGCUGUACGGGUUGAAGACUGCAGUAUUUGUGCCUGCUGGUGCUUGGAAAUAAGGAUGAGAGGAUGUGGUCUUGUGCUGCAAAUUCCUGCACGGCAUGCCUGUGCUCUGCAGCCAACUGCAAGGACUGGGGCAGGAUAUCUGCUGCGCAGGGAACCCUUCCUGUCCCUUCUUUUCUCCUGCUGUUUCUGGGGGAGGUUAUGGCUGGUUCCAAAGCAAUUGGAUGGUGCCAUCAGUGGCACCAUAUCAGUGGGUAACUUUGUGGCCUGAAGGUGGAAAAACUGUGUUGUCCCUCUGUGAAGCACAAGUUUGGGUGGCCUACGUACAGAGGAGGACGUAGCUCUCCUGACAAGGCCCUGCUUAGACAUCUCACAGUUCUCAGGGAAUUACUCCCAGAGAGCAUUAACGGAAAGAGCGGCCUACAAACAACAGGGCUCUGCCACAAGGCUCAAUGGGAAGGCAGAGCCCUUCAGUGAGCUUGCUUCCUCCCACCCCCAAAAUGUGUGCUGGGUGAGGGGCUCUUGAUGGAUGCUGAGGGUUAAUCCCUGAGACAAGUGCUGCCAUCCAGAUUGUAUUUCUCACUCCUCUCCUUCCUCGUGUGGGUGGAAAUCGGUGCCUGAUGUGGUUUGCAGUUGUCAGUGAUGUACUUUCAUCACUGUGUUGGGACAAAUGGCAUUGUCUACCAGGAAUGGAUGCGGGCUUGGCGGUAGAGGAAGGAGCAUGAUUCCCACCUCCCUGUUGCCUCUCACCCAGUGCCCUGUAGUGCUCCAUCUAAAGGAGAAGGCUCUAUAAGAGCCUUCAAUGAGAGAAAAUACGCAGCUAGAGCAGUGCAGGGUAAAGCGCUCCCUCUGACUAGGGAGUUGGAAAGGUAGGAACUUGGCUUUCCCCGCAGGCAGCAGGUUGUCCUGGAGCAGAAAAGGGCUAACAUCUGCUUCAGGAGAUGUCUGUGCUUAAGACGGCACUUUACCUGGUCAGCUCAGGCUGAGAGACCUACUCAAGAAGGCAACUUUUGCUGGUCUUCCACACAACGUGCCUGGCUUAGGAGUCUGAGCUGCUCUCAGGCAGCAUUUUGUAGUCUGGCUCAGUGCUACGCCCGCUAAGCUCAUAUCUGAGAAUGAGGACCCGGAUGGAGAAAUACCUGUCUUACAGCCCCUGUCAGGACUCAGAUCAGAUCAGGUCAAAGCACCAUCAGUGUCAAAGAUCCUUGAGAGCAAAAACCCAGAUUUCAAAUGUUAUUUCAUGUUUUUGACUUCAGUUGUGAUGAAGGAAGACGAGGUGAAGAGAGGAAAGGAAGUGACGGCUGGUUUUCCAGUUUGGAAAGGAAGCCAGAAAGAGAGCAUGGGUGUCUUUCCUUCACCACCUCCCCUCAGAACUCUAAAUUUACCAAUUUUCAAACCUUAAAUGAGAGCAAUGAACUCCAAAAUCACCUCUUUAAAGGGUAUGGAACCCCAGUAAAAGAGAACAGUCUGCUGGCAUGGGAUAAGAGGGUGCACAGACUAAUGAGCUCCCUUCCUGCCUUAAUGACAACAGUAAGUAUCCCAGAGUCUAACCCACAUAUAACCGGAAUGUUGAAGUCCAGAACUCUUAAACCAGUUACACCAUGGAAACAUCCAGACAGCUGCUUCUCUCCAAGCAAAACAGAAAUACUAAUGACUGUGCUGCUUGGUGAGGCCCCAACAACACCAUGUGUCCGUAACAGCGUGAGCUACUGUCACACAGAAGAAAUAAAAGCAACCAUAGACUUCUCUUCAUCUCUGUAGAGUACUCCUCCAGUUAGACUGCCACAAGUGAUUGUAAUGAAGAUGCAAUGACCAGUCUUAAAGAAUGGGAGGAAUAUUCCUAGGGAAAAAAGGAGUCAACACCAAGGCCAGGAUGCAAGUUUAUAUAACAGAUUCAGAUACACCAAUUGUAGUGUGAAUGGCUAGCAUCCCAGUGCUGCUUGCCUGCCCAGAAGAUAUGUGCCAGCAGCCUCACGUGAUUAUGCUAGUGUACAGAAGUCCCAGCUGGGGAUCAUUGCCUAGCCGCGUUGAGACCUUCAUCAGAAGGCAUGUCCUUCCUCAAGGAGCUUAUAGAAUGAGGUAAUGCAGAGGGAAAGUGGUGGACCCAAGCUCUUCUCUGUGCUCCUUCCCUGGGAAAUAGUGCUGUACUAAUGUCAAAAGAGAGGUAGUGGGGGGAAGACCAUCAGGGUAUUCUGGGUAGAAGAAAGGGCUACAUUUUGCACUUUCUGCAUGACCUAUCACUACUCAGCCAACUUCUUGGGUAAUUGGGUCAAAUUUGCUGUUCUGGCUAAAGCAUUUGGUGUGGUUGCCAGUUACCUUUAAAGAUAUCUCAUUUGCCAAGACAAGGAUUUGAAAAAUAGGACAUGGUAGAACAAAAACUGCUUGGAUUACUUUAGCUCGCUCAUCUUGUGCAUAUUCAUUUAAAUAAGCCUUAUUUACAUUAGUAGCCUUUGGCAAGACUCCUGCUUCAUCAAUGCACAGAGUGUAUGUUAAAUGAAAAGCAGGCUGUGAAUGAUGCAAGGGUGUUAAAAAGGAGAAAAGAUAAUCUCAUUAAGUGUCUGAAAUUCUUUAGGAGGACUGGAAUACACUGCUUACAUAACAUAAUUUUCAUGUGAUUAUGGGUAGAUCAUUUAAAUAUUUUUAUUUUCUAGAGCUAGUUAAUGAUUUUAUUCUUCCUUCUGCUGUUGCCUUAGGGUAACUCAAUGUAGAUUUGUCAAAGUGCUGAGCACUUACAGCUGCCACUGACAUCACUGAAAGAUGUGCCACAAAUAAAUAAAAUGCAAGUGAAACAAAAUUUUCCCCAUACAUGAGCUGAAAAGGAGGACAAAAGGGGCAAAUCCAAAGGCAGUUGGUACUUUGAACAUAUAUUUCAUUCAACCUGGUGCAGCAUCUUGUUUUGCUGCAC